GAUGAACGCUGGCGGCGUGCCUAAUACAUGCAAGUCGAGCGAACAGACGAGGAGCUUGCUCCUCUGACGUUAGCGGCGGACGGGUGAGUAACACGUGGAUAACCUUCCUCUAAGACUGGGAUAACUUCGGGAAACCGGAGCUAAUACCGGAUAAUAUAUUGAACCGCAUGGUUCAAUAGUGAAAGACGGUUUUGCUGUCACUAUUAGAUGGAUCCGCGUCGGAUUAGCUAGUUGGUAAGGUAACGGCUUACCAAGGCGACGAUGCGUAGCCGACCUGAGAGGGUGAUCGGCCACACUGGAACUGAGACACGGUCCAGACUCCUACGGGAGGCAGCAGUAGGGAAUCUUCCGCAAUGGGCGAAAGCCUGACGCAGCCACGCCGCGUGAGUGAUGAAGGUCUUCGGAUCGUAAAACUCUGUUAUUAGGGAAGAACAAAUGUGUAAGUAACUAUGCACGUCUUGACGGUACCUAAUCAAAAAGCCACGGCUAACUACGUG
rnacentral:rRNA from 1 species